AUAAUACGUUAUAUGUUAACCAAAAAGUUAAUUAAAAAAAUAAAAAUAAACUAAAAAUUGUAUGUUGAAGCAAUUAAAUGUCUUUAUUGCUUGAGUGACUUUCCAUGUUUUAUUUGGAAUGUGGCCAGGGAAGAUGCCGAGGCGGAAAGAGGUCUUCACACGGCCUUCCUGCGGGGCUCGCGGGCCGCGGGGCCCAGACGCCGUUGUGCAACGGGGCCCGAUUCCUGCUGCCCACCGCUGUCCUCCACGCGUGUGUGCGAGGUGCCCUGGGACCGCACCGAGAGAACAGACUUUGGUUUUCCGUCCGGCAUCUUUGUGAUGGGUCGAAGCGAGCUGGGGUGCGGAGGCUGCGACGGCCCGGAGGGACCUGGAGUUUGCACGGGAAGUGUGGGCGGCUUGUUUGUCCCACGGGGUCGCCGGCGCCCUUACUGUUCCAGGAGCUGGAGACAGGUGUGAGCCAGUAAGGGUAGUUCCUGCCCUCAUAGGAUUCGCCUUAUGGGAGGAGAGGACGGUAAUUGCCAGCUGAAGUCUUACUGUGCCAGGAAGUGAAAACACAAGAAUGCCGGCGGGGGGGGGGGGGUGGCCCGGAGGAUGAGGCUGGGUGCCCCCCGGCAGGCAGGGUGACUCCGCAGGAGCUCCCUUGUCCGUGCUGCUCGGGGAGGGCCGCGGCUGCUGUGAGGAAUUCGGACUGGCACUGGGCUGUGGUGGGAAGCCCUCCGAGGGCAGCCCUCCCUCCCUCCUAGGUGCCCUGGGGAGUCUUGGAUGAGGGAAGGUCAGGAUGCAGCCUUUGGACAGCCACUGCUUGUGUGUGUCAGGGACUCAGGACAAGCCAGGCUUCUGGAUCCCCUUCUAUCUACGACUUAAAUCUCAGGAGAGUCCAAAAGGUGGGCCGUGUCCUGUGUCUUCCCAUCCAGCGAGGGCACGUAUAAGGGGUGAUGCCAGGACUGCCCGGAGGCCCCGGAACACGGGGGCUCUUCCCGCCACCACGGCUGCAGGCGGGGGGCUCCAAAGGGGCACGUGCCAAGAUCCCUAUGGGCCAGAGGGUGACCUGAGCCCCGGCCCGCUGUCCGAGGGCUCUGUACUGUUGGCAGGGGACAUGCGGCCGGUCACACGGGGUGUGGGGUGCCUUCAGACUCCUCUGCCUCACUUCCACUCACUCAGCGCUCCUGGACUUGAAGCACAGUCUUAAAAUCAUAUCCUUGUGCCUUUAAAAAAAAAAAAAAGAAGAGAAAAAAAAAAGAAAACACAAGUGGAAUGAAAUACAGUAAUUACAAAAUGUCUUUCUGUUAAAAAUCCGAUUCUUCCCAGGCAGUCUUUGAGCAUCGAUGUGCUCGGAGCUGCCCCUCUGUUCCCUGUGCCCGCUCUCCGUACGAGCUCCCCCUGCCAUCUGGGGGUCUUCCAAGCCCCUGAUGCUCGCUCGGACCGUGCGGGUGCUGUCUUGAUCUUCCUGGCGGCUGUUAAGGGCAGGUUUCCGGUCUUUGUUGACCGGCCUGUUGACGGGCCGUGUCGUCCUGUCUCCUGUCACUGUGAGACACCACCCGUGCCCGGCAUGUCCGAUUUCAGAGUGUUCCUGUGUGGGGAGAUGUGCGUCUGAGAGCUGGCCGGCUGGCACGUGUGGUGGGCAGGUGGGCAGGCCCCUUAGGAUCAGAGCAUCGCAGACCGGUCCCCGGGUUGCCGGCCCGAGCGGUUGGCUGUUGCUGGGGAGGAGAUGGGGGGCUGGGGAAAGUGAGUGUGUGCGGGGUGAGCAGGCGCUGGGAGCGGGCCGUGGGGGCCGCAGAGCCUGGCCGAGGUCGUUCCUCUGCAGGCGUGCCCACGGGCUGGGCCUUGAGCACGCUGCCGUGGAGAUCUCUGCGUGGCCGCGGCUUGGACGUGUGAUCUCGAGCAAGCUGUCGGGUCUUCCUCUGCUUGGGUUUUCUGAUCCGUACGUUAGGCAGGGUGCUGGCAACCUUUAUCCUCUGGCUGCUGGGUCAGUACACUGCGCCAACGUGGUGCCUAAAACAGUGCCUCCGACAGUGCUAACGAGGUUUGCUUGUUACUUCUGUGAUUAGUCAUCCGCGUGGAGAUGUUUGGAUACAAGUGGAAAUUCAAGCCUGGGCUCAAGACGCAGUUGGGGCCAAGUAUGUAAAUUUGGGAGCCUUUUGGCCGUUGUGGCUCUAGACAGGGUGGAGCCUCGGGAGGAGGAGGGUCUGGCCACACCUGCUGUAAAGGGGUCUGUUGAAGGCGGAAGCCGGCAGGGCCUGGGGGUCUGGGAGCCAGGGCUGAGGCAGUGGGCCUUGCAGUGGUCAAGGGCACCGUUCUCCGGGGGAGUCUGGUUAAAAGCCGGCAGAGUGUGGGUCUGUAGCUGGAGGGGUCCUGGGCUCCAGGGAGUCACGUGAUUUCGUUCUUCAGAUGGAGAUGAUGAUGGUGUGUUUAUGGGUUCACAGGAGUGACCCAGUUGGGGGGUAGCUUUGUAUGACGUCGGGAAGAGGGUCGCUGCAGGAGCCUCGUCCUUGAGAAGGUGGGCGGGAGGCUGGAGCAGCAGGACCUCUGCGCACGGGGACCUGGACUCGCUUCGCGAUACUUCUGGAAGACGUGCUGCCCUUUUCAAAGGAAGGCAUAAAACAAAGCAGACUCUUGUCUCGGUCUCAGGAACUCGGGGCUCGUGCUCUCGAAUGUAGGCCCCAGUUUCUUAUUAGAUCCUGGCGUCAAGCUUGCCUUGGGGCCUCCUUAUGGAAAGACACACGUGGGAACAGCAUUUCGCUUUACCAGAGUCCUGCCUCGCCUUGGCUCAGAAAGUGUCAUGACCUUCAUGAGACGCCGGCGCCUUUCCUCACCGGGUCGGGUCCUGUUCCUGAGGACGAGUGCAGGGUGCCUCCUGCCUGGGCUGCCGUUGUCUCUGGCCAUCUAGAAGGGGGGAGCUUUGCAUCUGGACGGCCCCCCCUCCCGGGGGAGGACAGGGUCGCUUCGGCCCAGUGAAGCUGGUUGUCCCCGGGGCAGCAGCCCUCUGCCGGCUGGGGCGAAGGGCCUCCUCCUCGCGCGCGGGCCUGUGCUGUCCGCGGUGGGCUGGCGCGUUUGCAGGAGUCCCGCCAUGGGCUCGGGGGUGAGGAAGCCUUCACCGGCUCCCUGCGUGUGCCCGCGCUCUGUGCCACGGGAAGACUGUUCAUGCCGCUCUGGGCACUCUUUGCCACAGUGACAGGUUCUGUGUGAGUCACUGUGGAGGGACGCGCUCUCAAGGAGAAGCCCUCUGCCUCCGCAGGCCGUCAUUCUGGCGGGGAGGCUAAGCCAGGCACUAGGGCAGACGCUCUGCGUCAGAGGGCGGCUGCUGGGCAGGUCAGGCCUCUCUCCAGAGGGGUGCCACGCUGAUGCCCAGCGGAGACAAGCUCUUCCUCCCCAGAGCGGGGACAAGGACAUUCCCAGUGGAAGGCACAGCCUGCAGGAACCCUGCUUGUUGGAGCCGCUGGGGGUGGGGUGGACUGCAGCCUUUGUCCCGUCACUGAUGGCGGUGCUUGGAGGUGAGCCGUGCGUGCGGAGUUGGAGGCUGGGGGUGCCGAGUGUGGGCUGCGUGCAGAGGGGAUCUGGGGGUGAGGAGCAGGGGCGUUAGGAGGGGCUCUUCGCGCUCUCUGAGACCUGAGGUGAAGGUCCUUCAGUUACGGGCAUCACUUUCUCUCCGGUUCUGUUUGAAUCUGGCAGUCACUGAUCCAUUGGUGUGUCACGUGUGGAACAUGCACAUAUGUGUGCGUGAUGCGGGACGUGUAUGCCGCAUUGUUUCUGCGUGUGGCAGAGCCGGCAGCACGAAGGGUGCUUGUAGUGGGCUCACGGAUCCCUCCCGAGCACGUCGCGCCUGUUUCUCAGCUGGGGGCCAGACGUAAGAGGUCGGGCAGGGUCCGGCAGAGCGGGGUGACCUUCGGCUCGCAUUCUGUAAGCUGUCACCGUGCGUCGGGCGCGGUGGAGCCAGGGAAGCCGGCCGCGGCCCACGUGGCUCGGAAGGGUCUCCCUGACGUGGGCCAUCGUCCCCCUCAGACUGCUGCCUCCGUAGCCUCCUGCCCGGGGUCUCCUGCUGCCGGUUCCCGACCGGCCUCCUGAUCAGAGCCUGAAGCGCGGGGAUGGAUCCAUCACUGCCCACCCAAGCCCCGCCACUCCCCCACCUCAGGGUCCUCCCGGCCCCGUCUCCCUCUCCCCUUCCCCCUCCAGCCCCGGGGCCUCGCCCCCAGCCAUCUCCUGGGCUUGCUCCCCCCCCCCCCCCGCCCCCAGCCAGCCACGGUGUGUCCUGCUGUCCCUCCGUUUAUCUUCCUCCCCGCACCCCUCCCUCCCAUCAGGCUGCCGUCCGACUGAGCAAGCGUUGGUCUCACGGGGUCAGGGCUCUGGCCCGUCUCUGCCCUCGGGGCUCAGAACGGCUCGGCAGAGAGUGGGCGCGCACCUGUGUCUGGACCGAAGGACUGGGGUUUUCUUACUCUGCAGGUAGUAAGUGGGCAGAGCGCAUGGAGGCUCCGUGGUCGCCCUCCCCGCCGCGCCCCUCCCCUGCUCCUGCCGCACUUGGUGAAUCAGGCAUCUAUUUAUGCCCCGUAUGUCUGUGUUAUCUCCAGAUUUGUGUGCUUUUCUUUGUAGAGUGAAACAUUUACAAAACAUUCGAAGUUGUUCUGAAACCCUGAAGUACAAUAUCGUAGUUUAGUCUGUUGAACACAGGGAGUCCUGUCAGCCUACGAGAGCGGCUGUGUCCCGCUGCCGUUUGAACCCCUUAGGGCGACGCACAGCUGGGACGUGUUCUCUUAAGUCGAAACAGCUGGAGGAGCAGGGGUUCCCACCGCCUGGGACACAAGCGAGAAAGCGAGUAAUUCUGGGAGCUUCCGGAAAACACACCGGUUCAACGGUGCGGGCUUCGAGGGUCGCCAACCCCGAGGGAAGGUGGCCGCUGGGUGCCUGGAGGAGGACGCAGCGCAGAGGAGGCGGCAAGAGGGUGUGCUGGGACUUAGGAAGCUGCCUCCGAACUCGGGGCUUCCCUUCAGCAUCCUGCCGCACCGCCCUCGGGUGUGAACAGGGCCGGUCCGGGGCGAUUUCCAAGCUUUGUUCCAUUUCCAGAAGACGGCUGCACGCAGAGUAAAGUAAACUCCCAGGGUCUCAGGGUCUCCAGGGUCAUUCAGUCAGCUGUCGUCCUGGCACCUGUGUGCGGUCCCCUGUCGAAGCAGGCAGCGCCGCGUCCCUUCCCUGCAGCUGAGACCCACCAGAGCCUCGCACGUGGCACGGAGCGUCCUGCCGCCUCCCUCUGGGCCCGGCAGCCUGCAAAAGGAGGUGGGGCGCGGGAAGGGAGCUGGGGGUCCGUCCUGGGUCCCGGCUCCAGGGACUCCAGACGGCCCCUCUCGCUAGCUCCUCAGUCUCGGGGGCCGAGUCGGUGUCGGUGGCCGGGAAUCGAGUGAGGACUGUGUCUCCGGUGGGAGAGUCUGCAGCCUGGCAGAGCUGGCUGCGGGUAAGGAGGGAGCCAGCCGCCUCCGGGAGCUUCGCACAGUCUGGCUGUGGGGCGCUGAGCUCGGCGGGUGCGCCCGAGGCCGCGGCUCCGUGUGCGGGCAGCGCGCGUGGACCCCGCUUCCCUCCUGCUUUUGGCCGUUGGCAGGACGCCCCGGUUCCCUGCCUCUUCCAGCACUAAGCACGUGGGGUGAGUUGGUUUUCUCGAGAAGAGGAACUCGCUCCGGCAUGCAAGAUGGCUUCCCGCCAUCUGACGAGGCUGAGUUGGUCACGGCACCGGGUUUCCCGCUGCCCACGCGCCAUCCUAACCCCACGCGCUGUCCUAACCCCACGCGGGGGCUCCUCCGUAUCCUUGUCUUCUCUUUCGGGGUUCUGCUGGGCACCUCCUUUCACGGGUUCCUGUCUGUGGAGGCCGGGCUCUGUGCCUGUCCCCGAGCGUGGCCGCGUGGGGCAGAAGGGGGUGUCUCCACGUACAGAAGGGGCGUGUGGGCGCGGACAUGGGGCGGCGCUGUCCGGACUUUCGGCCUGGGGCCCGUCCCCAAAGCUGCGGGUGCAGGGGCUCUGGGCUCAGGCCGCAGCCCACAGAGCUGUGGUGAGAGGAGGGACCGUGUCCCCGAGCCGGCGACGGGGGAGAUCAGUCUGUGCAAGUGCCAGCUUCGUGGUCCGGAGCGUCUUCCCGCAGCGAUCGACCCAAGCGACAGAGGGAUGGCUCCGGAGCCAGUCCCGGGCGCCCGCUCCAACCGACCGUGUGCGCCGUCGUCUGCGCGGCAUUCUCGCCGGGCGGCUUCCCAGACUGUGUUGUUGUUGUUGUUAAUAUGGUAGGACUUGACUCUCCUUCGGAAGUUCCCGAAAUGCUUCAAGGCCCUCCUGUCACAGAGCUCUGGGGGGGAGGCUUGGCCUGCGGGGCAAGCUGGUUUGGGAGUUGAGCCCGGAGUCCGAACCCAGGGCGGCCUUCCCAGGACCCCCCAGUCACGGGACCUGAGAGCCGCAAUCGUGUGGGUCCCAGAGUCCAGCCUAGACUGGACCGUCCCCGAAGCCCCGUGGAGGAUCAGUCCUGUCGGGUUCCGGCAGCUGUUGGAUGUGCUGAGACGGGGACCUCAGUCGCGGCACUGUGUGCUGCGGUGUGGCCGCGGGGAGGCGCCACGGGGGCGCCACGGGGGGCGUUGGGUUACAGUGACCUCUCCUCACUCCUGCUCUCGGGCUUGCACGUGAACGAGUGACGUAGUUGGUCAUUUUACUCUCCUUGAGUUUCCUUCCUCCGACGAAACUGAGAGGGGACUGGUGUUUCCAUAGAAACGACAGGUAUGGACCGAACCAGCGGGAUGCGGCGCGGGGAUGCGAGGUG